rnacentral:rRNA from 1 species
AACGAACGCUGGCGGCAUGCCUAACACAUGCAAGUCGAACGGAUGCAGCAAUGCAUCAGUGGCAGACGGGUGAGUAACACGUGGGAAUCUACCCAGUAGCCUGGAAUAACCGCGGGAAACUGCGGCUAAUACCGGAUACGCCCCUCGGGGGAAAGGAGCAAUCCACUAUUGGAGGAGCCCGCGUCCGAUUAGCUAGUUGGUGAGGUAACGGCUCACCAAGGCGAUGAUCGGUAGCUGGUUUGAGAGAACGACCAGCCACACUGGGACUGAGACACGGCCCAGACUCCUACGGGAGGCAGCAGUGGGGAAUAUUGGACAAUGGGGGAAACCUUGAUCCAGCAAUGCCGCGUGGGUGAUGAAGGCCUUCGGGUUGUAAAGCCCUUUUGGCGGGGACGAUGAUGACGGUACCCGCAGAAGAAGCCCCGGCUAACUUCGUGCCAGCCGCCGCGGUAA